GAAUUUUGGACAAUGGGGGCAACCCUGAUCCAGCCAUCCCGCGUGUGCGAUGAAGGCCUUCGGGUUGUAAAGCACUUUUGGCAGGGAAGAAAAGGCGCUGGCUAAUACCUGGAGCUGCUGACGGUACCUGCAGAAUAAGAACCGGGUAAGUACGUGCACGCAGCCGCGGUAAUACGGAGUGUGCAAGCGUUAAUCGGAAUUACGGGGCGUAAAGCGUGCGCAGGCGGUUCGGCAAGAAGGAUGUGAAAUCCCAGGGCUUAACCUUGGAACUGCAUUCUUAACUGCCGGGCUAGAGUAUGUCAUAGGGGGGUAGAAUUCCGCGUGUAGCAGUGAAAUGCGUAGAGAUGCUGAGGAAUACCGAUGGCGAAGGCAGCCCCCUGGGAUAAUACUGACGCUCAUGCACGAAAGCGUGGGGAGCAAAC
rnacentral:rRNA from 1 species